UCGCCGUAUACGCUCCAUUUUCUUAUAUUAAUUAAUCGAAAGUGCCGAGAAAAGUGUACGCCGCGUGUGUUUUAACAAAAAACUUAGAAGACGAAUUUGUGAAGUGCAAAAAACUACCAAAUUAUCUCGAAGUCUCUAUAGUUACGGAUAAUUUUUAAAUAUUUUAUCCCGAGGAUGCAAAGGCGACGGCCGCGUCUAAAGUUGUCUAUAGACUAAGUGAUGUAAUUUCAACAUAAGAAAAACAACAAAUGAUCACAAUGCCUGUGGUGUCACCGUCUCGCUACAACUCUGCUUCCAGCAGCCACUCCGGGUCGUACCGGUCCACACUAACCUCAACCUCAAGCCUGGACAAGCCGUAUUACCGAACAACCGGUGGUACUUACGUGACCUCAACCUUCAGAACUUCACUCGGUGAUCGUACUACAGAAUACCGGUCGAGAUUCUCGGACAUAGAUGGCAAAAAGGAACGCAAUACUAGUCUUGUAGAGUAUACGAGAACGUCCAGAGCACCGAGUGUGACCGACUCUGAUAGCGGUAUCUCUACGAGAUAUCGGUCAGAACGGUCAGAGUCACGGUCUCGGGAUAUAUCAACGACCAGGAGUGAAAGCAGUAAGACUACUAGUGAUCCCUUGCCGAGGAAUAAGAGAAAUGUUCUCAGUUCUGCGUCUCUUGCUAUGUCGACGGCGGAUUUGUAUAAUAAAUACUCACCUGCUAAUUACAUACCACUGACACAGAGAAUCCAGCAGCAGCAACAGCAAGCAAAUCAGAACUCUUAUGGGGAAAUUUCAAGGUCGAAAUCAAUUUCCAAUGACAUCGGUAGACCCCCUGCGUCGGAUUCUUCCAGAUUAAGAAAAGCUAGAAACUCAACAGCGGCGACAAUAAUCGAGAGAACCGGAAGAUGCAAGGAAUCACCAUCACCCCACAAAAGAACAUCUAUGACUAACGGAAUAAAGGACAGUAAUGGAAAUGAGGUACCUUCGGUAUCGGAUUUGAGAAAACGCUUCGAUCAAAAAAUGACUGUAACGAAACUCCCUGCUAACGAACCUAAAUAUGGAACUAAAGCUGUCGAACAUUAUCUAAGUCAACUUAAAGAGUGCGAGAAUGGUAUAGGGUACACCAAAGUUGUUCAAGACGAGAAACCGGUCCCUAUACAUUUGCCUUUUGAAAGGAACGGUAUCGCCAAAUGGGACGGGAGUAGCAGUUCCAAAUCAAACUCCAACUCUGAUCUUUCUAUUAGUAAGACCAUCUCUGAACCCGUCUCUUUAGCUAAACCUUUAACGGACAAAAACAACACCAUGUCAACGUCGUUGACCAGUAAGCUGCCGUCGGAACGUUUGGCAAGUAUAAAAAGUCAACUAGACCCUAACAAUCCUAUAGGAAAAAUUCUCGAAAAAUCUACAGUUAUACAGGUUGAAAACGGUGAAGUAACUAAGAACAGCAGUCCUGAUAUUUCUAAGAAAGAAACGUUGAGAAAUGAUAUUGAGAAACAAGUCAAAACUCCGAAACAUACGUCUAAUUUUGCUUCUUACAUUCAGAUAUCUCAACCAGUAUCAUCUAAGACCAACGGUGAAGAAAGAAAUGAUAAAACGGAGAGAGAUAAGUCAGAUAGAGAUAGAAAUGACAAGUUAGAAAGAAAGAAAGUUAAUCUCAAAUAUAUAGACACAGAAGAUAGUUUAGUUCUUGAUAAUAAUGAUAUAGAAUCUCCUUGUGGUACAGGAUUUGAGAAUAAGACUUUUGAACAUGAAAAUUUCUUAAAGAAAAGAUCAGAACACCGUGAAAUAGAAGAGAACCAAGAUGAUGGAGCCAAAAGUAUGGAGACCAGUACUGAAAGUACAUUGAGCGAAGAAGACUCGAGUCCUGACACUCCUUCCUCUAGAAGAAAGGUCCUCGAUGAUAAGGAGAUCGAAGAUAUCAAAGCGGAAUUGGCGGGUGGUAAGAGUGGGGCCGUGGCAGGGCGGCGCAGCAGCGAGCGCUCCGACGCCAGCACCGACUCUCGCAUCGACCGGAAGCCCAGUCACACCAGCGGCCUGAACGGCCUCCGCAACAUCGGCAACACCUGUUUCAUGAACAGCGUCCUGCAGUGCCUCUCCAACACGCGACCUCUGCUCGAAUACGUGUCCGAGGACAAGUACACCUCCGAGAUCAACACCACGCUGUCUUGCAUGAAAGGCGCACUCAUCAAAGCGUUCGCCAGCGUGGUGAAGGAGCUGUGGCGCGGCGGCGAGCGCGACGCCGUCGUCAACACCACGUCGCUCAAGGCGCAGGUGCAGCGCUUCGCGCCGCGCUUCAUGGGCUACUCGCAGCAGGACGCGCAGGAGUUCCUGCGCUACCUGCUGGAGGGCCUGCACGAGGACGUCAACCGCGUCACCGCCAAGCCCAAGCCGAUCCUCGCCGAAAUCGACGACGGCCUCAGUGAUUCGGCGAAAGCCGCGGAAGCGUGGAGCCGCUACCUCCGCAUGGAGGACAGCCGCGUCGGCGACAUUUUCGUCGGACAACUCAAGAGCACCUUGCGCUGUACGCACUGCAAUCACGAUUCUGUCACUUUCGACCCCUUCUGGGAUCUUAGCUUGCCAAUACCAUCCCGCACGGGGAACCUGAAGCUGCAGCAGUGCCUGGCGCACUUCACGCGCGAGGAGGAGAUGGACGGAGAUGAAAAACCUACGUGCAGCAAGUGCGGCGUGCGGCGCAAGUGCCUGAAGUGGUUCACGGUGCACAAGUUCCCGCAGGUGCUGGUGCUGCACCUCAAGCGCUUCUCCCCGACGGAGCGCUUCCGCGGCAAGCUCAACGUGCUGGUGGAGUUCCCGCUGACGGGCCUGGACAUGUCGCCCUACGCCGCCGCGCGCCAAGCCAGUCCCGUCUACAACCUCUACGCCGUCAGCAACCACUCGGGCACCACGUACUCCGGCCACUACACGGCGUACUGCAAGCACCCGUACACCGGCGACUGGCACGAGUACAACGACUCCAGGGUGACCCCCAUCUCGCCGCGCAACGUGGUGUCGUCGGAGGCCUACGUGCUGUUCUACGAGCUGGCGAGGGGCUCGCACUCGUAGCGGGCCCGCGGCCCAAGAACCCGCCUGUCGCGAAGCCGCGCAGCUGCUCUCCGCCAGUGCGUGUAGGAUAUAGGUUAUUCGGGCUUGCAUCACGUUACUUUGUCGUCGCAUCCCACGGCGGGACACGGGUCUCCACUAUAAAAGGCUAAAUAUAAAUACAUAAUUAUUUAACACCUCGAUAUAUUUACUCAAUAGAUAGAGAUUUAUUUACAAAAGAACAUUGUGUCAAUUCUAUUAAACAUAUUUUGUAGAACUGAACUAAAAUCUGUCAGGUCUAAAAUUGCUUGACAUGUUACAGUCCACUGGUGGACAUGACCAGUAUUAUACGAAUAUUAUUAAACGAACUAACAAUUGACAUCUUAUUUUUUCAUAGUGAGAAAAGUUUUUCUAAAUAUGUAUAACAGAAUUGCUCAUUAAUAUAUAAAAUUAAAAAAGUCAUUUAUGAACAAAACUAAGUAUAACAAGAGUCUAUGCAAUUUGAUUAUUAUUGUUAUUUACUUAAAUUAUUUUUGCGUAUCAUUUAAUAAUUUAUAAUUUUGUGGCCAUCGUACGCUGUUAUUGUUUAAUUUUGUAAUUUUUCGAUUUAACUCAAAAAAAGGUAAAAUGCGAUAUUUUUUACUUACUUAGGACUCUGAACACGGGCCCCUAUGUGUGAAUCUCUGUAUUAGUCCAAAUUUCGAAUAAAUAGAAAACCUGUCAAGUUCUUGAGAAGUGACAAACGUGCACCGUCCAUGUCUGUUACAGAAAGAAAUACGAUAGGCCAAAUUAAAUGAAAGCGAGGCCCGAAACGCUGACAGCAUUCCCCCUCUGUAUGACUUCGCUCAUACAUUGGGCAAGGUACGGCAAAGCACCACUUUGAAUCGUGUGUGUAAGUGGCAUUAAGUUGAUUUAAAUCGUAAGUGAAAAGGGAGAUGUGCCUGUGGGCGUUCUAACGUAACAGGUGUAUUUGCCUCGUGCCUUUUGUGAUAGCUAUUGUGAAACUUUUAAAAUGUUAAUGUAUGUGUCAUAACGGCGAGGGAACGUACGUCCAUGUGAAAAAGCAUUAACCUCUCUUUGCCAUCGCCGUAGUUGAGGAAAUAUGUGCCAGUUGUCGAUAUUUUUACCCGUUUAUGAGUUUUAAAAUAAAUGACAAAAUUAAACAACUAUUUUAAACUAAUAAAUUAAUAUUGUUAAUACGUUUCUAAGUUCUAGGUAGGCUGAAUGUGUUUAAGAAUUAGCGGGUUAAGCAGUCUAUGCAUUUUUUUAACGUCGUUGAGUAAAACUAGACAUUCACGAUGCGAUUUGCAGGAUGAUAUUAGUCGUGAGCAUUUACAUAGAGCUGCUCACGUCAAUCUUGUAAAGGGUUACAAAUAACAAGAACGUGUUAGAAAUCGCGAGUAGCGCCACCAGUUUACAAAAGUCGCUUAUUAGUUUUUAUAAUUAUAAAUGGCGAUGUGUGUUAUAGAAAAUGUAAUCGCAUCGUGUAUGGCGAUCAUUAUAUUUAUUGUUACGACUGCACCGCUAGUGUAUGGCUUGCAUUAAGUAUUCCUUGCAUCACAUUGUUUUGUUUCACUAUUGUAUUUACUUAAUAGAGAAACGUUUUAUUUUUAAACAAUAAUGUUGUGUGGAAAGUAUUGAAAGGAAGUUACAUUUUCGUGUAUCGCAAGAGAAGUCAUGAUAGCCGUUGCAACUUAUUGUAAUACAUACACACAUCACGCCCACGCCCGUCUCCCGACGACGAGGGCAGAGCCUGCGAACCUUCACGAGAUACGCUCCCUACAUUCGCGUCACCUUUCGAAAAUACUCAUCUGUUUCUGCCCCUGCACUCUCGUUCUUCGUCGCGGCGCUCCAGGGCGAGCCGAGUUGUCUUCGACUUAUCCCUGCAGCUGAUUAUAAGUGGGAAAUCGUUGGCAAAUGUCAGCACUCGGGUGCAUCCCAGUUUCGUGAAGGCGGCCCACCUUCUACUCGGCGAUGUGCUGCUUUCGGGCAUUUCGAACGCUAUCAUUUCCCUUACUGUAUCACUAUUCUUCAUGAUGCAGUGGUUGCGGGCAAAGAAGAAAAUUGUAAGGCUAGAAGAAAACUUAAACAAAAAAGAAAUUUAAAGACAAAUUGCAUUUCUUUUUUUUUGUUUAAUAUUCUUUUCUUGCGACACAUAAAAAUGUCAACGUUUGGUGGGAGUUAUUCGGAAAUGGUAAAAGCAUUACUAAAUCGAUAGUAACGGAUAUUUACCAUUGAGCAAAUUCUUUAUGAAAACUUUCAAGUUAUUUUAAUGAUUUUUGCCCUCGUUUGUUGCGGGGAUUUGGCGAACGCCUCACCCGACGUUUUUGAUGUAAUAUGUCGGGACGUCAGUUGACAUAUCGGCUAGCGUAUCAUUCACUGUGAACAAAUCACGACUGCACGUUCGCUAGUAAAUGAUGACGAUGACGCCUUAAACAACUAAUUUUUACAUUUCAGGGAUCAUUAAAUAAUGUCUACUUUUUCUUUUAUGAAAGAUUAAGAUCCCAUUGUUGUUGGUUCUUUAAUCGAAAUUGAAAGUGAAUAAUAAUAAUAUUUUCAGUAAAAUAAUUGUAAAUUGAUAAUUCAAACCAACUCGAAAUACGGUCUCGAUGUAAUCAUAUUUUGACCAAAAAAGAAGUAAUAAAAUAAAUUUAUUAAUUAAUAAAACUAUGGGGUCACUUUUGAAAUUUUGUUUCGUGGACCGGAUGAAAAUUUCAACACGUAAAGCUACCUCUGGCUUUGCGAUAAUCAAAAUCAAACUAGAUGUGGACUAUGCGGCUUGUUGUUACGAAAUUUCAUAAGGUCGCCCCCUGUAUUAUAAAUAAAUAAAUGUAGAUAUUAUCAUAACUAUAACGCCUUUGGGUAUGCACGCUGUGUGUUGUUCCCUUAUGUGCGGCAAACAGGAGUAUAUAACAAUGUUAAACGCCUGUAGUGAUAUUAUGUCUAUUGAAUGUUCUAUGACUAAUUUACAUGAAGUGACCAAAGUCCAACACGGGGCUUUAAGUGCAAUAGCCCAGCGCCGUGUGUAGACUCGAAAUAGGGAAGAUGUGUUAAAAUAUUUACCUCUAGCGGUUGAAUUGGCGGUCGCUGUUAACAGAUACGUUGACGUGGUGCUCAUCUAUGGAUUAUUAUCUCCAAGUAAUCCGUCGAUGCAUUCCGCGACACCCACAUUUAUUCAUCGUGGUAAGAUUAGCCGCCACGCGAAUGUCAUGUCAUGUAACCUUGCCAUAGACAAUAUUUUUAAUUAUGACUUCAAAACAACACAAAAUAUUACUAAAAUUGCCUACAAAAAGGGUUUUAUAAACUUCUGUCUGCCAUUUUAUAAAGUAAUAUAUGUUUUCACACGGCGCGGCUUUCGACUCGGCGCGCGACUCCGUCCACUCUAGCCUGAGCGCUCGUAGUUGAGAUAUUGAAAAAUUUGUUCUCUCUCCCUCUCUCGUACACAUUGCUUAAUUAAAACGUGUUAGAAAGGGAUGUAGUGUUUAAGAUUCUUUUCUGAUGUUAGGCGUGGAAGAAAUCUAAAGUUGACGGUUAUGUCGUCGUUAUAGUACACGUCUCGCAGCCGAACUCG